ensembl:lncRNA
AUGCCUGUUUGUGCUGUUUUUAAGGGGCACCCUCUGUGUUCGCAGCGCCGGGAGCAAGGUGAGGCAGAGAGCAGAGGUGGUUCACCGUCAAAGCGAACAUCGAGUCGGGCAGAGAAAGGCUCUCUGGACUUAGAGCCGCAGCCUUCGAAAUCGAACAGCCGCUAUUAUUCACCAAUGGGAGGAACCUCAAGCCAGACGAAAACCAGCCCUCCACAGUCAGAGGUGCAGCGCCGGGAGCAAGGUCAGGCAGAGAGCAGAGGUGGUUCACCGUCAAAGCGAACAUCGAGUCGGGCAGAAAAAGACUCUCUGGACUCAGAGCCACAGGCAAGUAACAGAGUCGUCUUCUUAAACUGCUGAUGGGAAGUUCAUUAAUUUUUUUUCAAUAUUGUGCUUUUAUAUCAUUGCAAUUUACCAUGGGAACCUCGUGCUGAGGGGCAGGUGAGAAACCAAUAAGAUGGCAAUGGUGAUUAUAUUAAUCAUCAAAGAUGGAGGGGUUGUUGCUGGCAUCCGUCUCUGUCUCGAGGGACAAUGGAGUGUGCUUCCAGGAGUGAAGUCAAAGCACUGUGUUUGCAGCACCGAAGCGACUUUCCUGGGGUGCAAGCCUGCAUCAAGGUCCUGGGCUUCCCAGGUGGCAAGACUUCUUGGGGUUCUUGGCCUAGCUGAGGGGUUUCAAAGGAAAGCACAGCAAGACAUUUGACACCUGAUUGGCUGCAGGAAUGCCGGAAGGAGGCAUACAAGGUGCCAGCAAACCAUCCUAGGAGGCUCCCACAACCCCAGGCAUAGCUGUCAAGUGUCCCUUAUUUGAAGGGACAGUCCCUUAUUGCAGCGCCAUGUCCUGCUGCUGUCCCUUAUUGAUGGAUGUCCCUUAAAUGAUGUCCCUUAAAUUUCAAAGGAAGCAGCUCCUCUCCCUCCCUCCCUGCCGGCCAGGGAGGAGGGAGGCUCCAACUGUGUUGCUUGUCUGUGUUGCUCACCCAAUAAGAAGUCUUAAGAACGACUGGGGGUUGGAGCUUGCAUGCCUUGUGUGUGACUAGUUAAUGCAAGCUGAGGGGGGUUUUGAAUGCUGGACGCCAUUUUGUUGCACGUGCUGCUGCAAACUUUGCAGUUCAAAGCCAGGCCGGGGAGCCAUCUUAAGUUGAGGCUGCAUAGGCCUUGUGGUGCAUGUGAUUCAGAUUCUAUUCAGUUGAACCUCUGGUUACAAAGUUGGUUGGACAGUGUUCUUGAAGCUACCAGCAUGAGUUUGACCAGACUGCAGGAGGACAGGAAGACUGGAGUGCCUGGAACAGGUGAGGCUGCAUGUUAUGUAGUGUAGUUUCACCCUGGGCCAACAGGGGGAUACUGUAUAAAGUUUUCACUCAGGUCUGUAGAUAGUUUUCACUCAGGUCCGCGGCAGUUAUUUUAGGCGGGAACUCUGGGCUGUUGUGGUUACAAUGUUGACAGCCGGCUGCCUAUAAAUACAGGCCGGCUGAGCUGUUCGCAGUCAGUUGUAUUCCAGCUUACCAUAAUAAAGAGCUACUUGAAGAAAUCGCUGUGCCGGCUGCUAUGUCAACCCACGACUCAACACUGGCGACGAGGAUGGGAUGGAUGGACAUCAGAGCACAGCCAGAUGCGGCCAGCCUCUGAACUGAGCUGAAUCACUGAGCUGAAUCACUGAGCUGAAUCACAGAGCGAAAUCACUGAGCGAAAUCACUGGGCAGAACCAAUUCAGAGCUGACUGUUCUGGCUAGAGCACUGUGUUCCAUCCAUCGCCC